CCAUGUAGGGUCCGUAACNAGUCGAGCGGAUGACGGGAGCUUGCUCCUUGAUUAGCGGCGGACGGGUGAGUAAUGCCUAGGAAUCUGCCUGGUAGUGGGGGACAACGUUCCGAAAGGAGCGCUAAUACCGCAUACGUCCUACGGGAGAAAGUGGGGGAUCUUCGGACCUCACGCUAUCAGAUGAGCCUAGGUCGGAUUAGCUAGUUGGUGAGGUAAAGGCUCACCAAGGCGACGAUCCGUAACUGGUCUGAGAGGAUGAUCAGUCACACUGGAACUGAGACACGGUCCAGACUCCUACGGGAGGCAGCAGUGGGGAAUAUUGGACAAUGGGCGAAAGCCUGAUCCAGCCAUGCCGCGUGUGUGAAGAAGGUCUUCGGAUUGUAAAGCACUUUAAGUUGGGAGGAAGGGCAGUAAGUUAAUACCUUGCUGUUUUGACGUUACCGACAGAAUAAGCACCGGCUAACUCUGUGCCAGCAGCCGCGGUAAUACAGAGGGUGCAAGCGUUAAUCGGAAUUACUGGGCGUAAAGCGCGCGUAGGUGGUUCGUUAAGUUGGAUGUGAAAGCCCCGGGCUCAACCUGGGAACUGCAUCCAAAACUGGCGAGCUAGAGUAUGGUAGAGGGUGGUGGAAUUUCCUGUGUAGCGGUGAAAUGCGUAGAUAUAGGAAGGAACACCAGUGGCGAAGGCGACCACCUGGACUGAUACUGACACUGAGGUGCGAAAGCGUGGGGAGCAAAAAAGAUUAGAUAC
rnacentral:rRNA from 1 species